UGCCAGCCGCCGGCGGUAAUACAGAGGGUGCAAGCGUUAAUCGGAAUUACUGGGCGUAAAGCGUGCGUAGGCGGAUGCUUAAGUCAGAUGUGAAAGCCCCGGGCUCAACCUGGGAAUUGCAUCUGAUACUGGGCAUCUAGAGUAUGGUAGAGGACAGUGGAAUUUCUGGUGUAGCGGUGAAAUGCGUAGAUAUCAGAAGGAACAUCAGUGGCGAAGGCGGCUGUCUGGGCCAAUACUGACGCUGAGGUACGAAAGCGUGGGUAGCGAACAGGAUUAGAUA
rnacentral:rRNA from 1 species